rnacentral:rRNA from 1 species
AUUGAACGCUGGCGGCAGGCCUAACACAUGCAAGUCGAGCGGAUGAAGGGAGCUUGCUCCUGGAUUCAGCGGCGGACGGGUGAGUAAUGCCUAGGAAUCUGCCUGGUAGUGGGGGAUAACGUCCGGAAACGGGCGCUAAUACCGCAUACGUCCUGAGGGAGAAAGUGGGGGAUCUUCGGACCUCACGCUAUCAGAUGAGCCUAGGUCGGAUUAGCUAGUUGGUGGGGUAAAGGCCUACCAAGGCGACGAUCCGUAACUGGUCUGAGAGGAUGAUCAGUCACACUGGAACUGAGACACGGUCCAGACUCCUACGGGAGGCAGCAGUGGGGAAUAUUGGACAAUGGGCGAAAGCCUGAUCCAGCCAUGCCGCGUGUGUGAAGAAGGUCUUCGGAUUGUAAAGCACUUUAAGUUGGGAGGAAGAGAAGUAAGUUAAUACCUUGCUGUUUUGACGUUACCAACAGAAUAAGCACCGGCUAACUUCGUG